ensembl:rRNA 5S_rRNA 5S ribosomal RNA
GUCUACAGACAUACCACCCUUAACACACCGCUCUUGUCUGAUCUUGGAAACUAAGCAGGGUCGGGCCUGGUUAGUAUUUGGAUGGGAGAUGUAGACC